CAAAAACUGAACCAUAUUAAUAUUGUGUUAAACAAAAAAGAAAAUGUACUAUAAACUUCUCUCUAGACGUUUGUAUCGGUGUGUAUUGUGUACAAAAUACGAACUUGUGGACUAAUUUAGCUAGAUAAAAAUUUGUGUUGUGUGUAAAGCUUCGUUUUUAUGUUUAAUUACGUAAAACAUUUAAGAAACAAUGGAAGAGGCAGAGGAAAAAUUAAUAAGAUUAAAAAGAACCCCUAUUCUUCUCUACCAAUAAUGAGUAGUCUGCUAAAGCAAAAGCGGCUGCUGUUGAAAAAACUUUCAAAUUAAAAGCAUUAGCAAAGGAUUGAUUAAAAAUAGAUAAUAUAUUUAGCCAAACGGCUUGAGAGUUAACUGGCGAACCCACUGAAAUUGCAGAACCUAAGAAAUAAAAGCCAAAAAAAUGUAUCCAAAAAAUAGUGAAGAAACAAGCCUAAAAACAUCUCAACACAGACAGUCUCAACAGUCUCAACAGUCUCGAAUGGUCAUCUACAUCAAUAGCGUCUUCGAUAUCUUCAUCACCACCGUCAUCGUUAUGUAAACCUAUGAAAAUAAAUAAUGAAACUAAAAAAAACGAAUUAAUGACAGUACUAACUACAUUGUUGGCUCAAAAAAAGGAAAAAAAUUAGUUCAUAAUCUACACCAUACCACCUUGAUCAUCUUCAAUAUCACCAUCAACUAAAAGUAGAAAAAUAAGAAAAAUCAACUCAAAUUUGAAGGACAUAAAUAUGCGUAUGGAAAUAGCACAUGAAGACAGUACAUUAGCAACAAUUGCUGAUAAUCCCUUUUCAUCAUCAUCAUAAAUCUGACACAGAAGCUGAAAUGAAUACAUUAGCAGCUAGAUCAUCAUCAUCAACAAAAAAUACUGUAUCCAAUGAUUCUUUGCUGGAAUGUAUCAAACAUAAUUAUAACAGUCUAUCAAAACAAUUAGCAAAUUUAAAAGGCCAUAUCUGCUGACGUUCCCAAAUCCUGUCUGAAAUAAAAAAAUAACAGUACUCAGCUGUUCGAUUUCAGUUUAUUAACAGAUCCUGAAGGAGAUCCAGUGGUCCAAAAAUUAGAAUUUCCGCUAUCAACAAUGGAAGAUAUUAUUUUGAUAAUUUCAAUGAAAAAUUAAAAGGCGAAA